rnacentral:rRNA from 1 species
CCUACGGGUGGCAGCAGUGAGGAAUAUUGGUCAAUGGGCGCGAGCCUGAACCAGCCAAGUCGCGUGAGGGAAGACGGCCCUACGGGUUGUAAACCUCUUUUGCCGGGGAGCAACGGGCGCCACGUGUGGCGCCACUGAGAGUACCCGGAGAAAAAGCAUCGGCUAACUCCGUGCCAGCAGCCGCGGGAAUACGGAGGAUGCGAGCGUUAUCCGGAUUUAUUGGGUUUAAAGGGUGCGUAGGCGGAGCGUUAAGUCAGUGGUCAAAUUGAGGGGCUCAACCCCUUCCCGCCAUUGAAACUGGCGGGCUUGAGUGGAAGAGAGGUAUGCGGAAUGCGAGGUGUAGCGGUGAAAUGCGUAGAUAUCACGAAGAACCCCGAUUGUGAAGGCAGCAUGCCGGCUUCCGACUGACGCUGAGGCACGAAAGCGUGGGGAUCGAACAGGAUUAGAUACCCGGGUAGUC